GAUGAACGCUGACAGAAUGCUUAACACAUGCAAGUCAACUUGAACUUCGGUUUGGGUGGCGGACGGGUGAGUAACGCGUAAAGAACUUGCCUCACAGAUAGGGACAACAUUUGGAAACGAAUGCUAAUACCUGAUAUUAUGAUUAUAUGGCAUUGUAUAAUUAUGAAAGCUAUAUGCGCUGUGAGAGAGCUUUGCGUCCCAUUAGCUAGUUGGAGAGGUAACGGCUCACCAAGGCGAUGAUGGGUAGCCGGCCUGAGAGGGUGAUCGGCCACAAGGGGACUGAGACACGGCCCUUACUCCUACGGGAGGCAGCAGUGGGGAAUAUUGGACAAUGGACCAAGAGUCUGAUCCAGCAAUUCUGUGUGCACGAUGAAGUUUUUCGGAAUGUAAAGUGCUUUCAGUUGGGAAGAAAAAAAUGACGGUACCAACAGAAGAAGUGACGGCUAAAUACGUG
rnacentral:rRNA from 1 species